rnacentral:rRNA from 1 species
UUCCGGUUGAUCCUGCCGGAGGCUACCGCUAUUGGAGUUCGAUUAAGCCAUGCGAGUCGAGAGUCUUAGGGACUCGGCGUACCGCUCAGUAACACGUGGGUAACCUGCCCUAUGCUGGGGAAUAACCUCGGGAAACUGAGAAUAAUACCCCAUAGUUCACCACGCCUGGAACGGUGGGUGGAUGAAAGCUCCGGCGGCAUAGGAUGGGCCUGCGACGUAUCAGGUUGUAGGGGGUGUAACGUACCCUCUAGCCAUCAACGCGUACGGGUGUUGGGAGACAUAGCCCGGAGAUGGAUUCUGAGACACGAAUCCAGACCCUACGGGGUGCAGCAGGCGCGAAAACUUGGCAAUGCGAGCAAUCGUGACCAGGGAACUCCAAGUGGCUGGGGUAAUACCCAGUUUUUUCUUGACUCUUCAAAGGUCUUGGAAUAAGGGGUGGGUAAGGACGGUGCCAGCCGCCGCGGUAAUACCGGCGCCUCAAGUGGUAGUCGCUUUUAUUGGGCCUAAAACGUCCGUAGCCGGUCUGGUGCAUUCGUGGGUAAAUCAACCCGCUCAACGGGUUGAAUUCUGCGAGCACGGCCAGACUUGGGACCGGGAGAGGUGUGGGGUACUCUCAGGGUAGGGGUAAAAUCCUGUCAUCCUGAGAGGACCACCUGUUGCGAAGGCGCCACACUAGAACGGAUUCGACGGUCAGGGACGAAACCUA